rnacentral:rRNA from 1 species
AUUGAACGCUGGCGGCAGGCCUAACACAUGCAAGUCGAACGGUAACAGGAAGCAGCUUGCUGCUUUGCUGACGAGUGGCGGACGGGUGAGCAAUGUCUGGGAAACUGCCCGAUGGAGGGGGAUAACUACUGGAAACGGUAGCUAAUACCGCAUAACGUCGCAAGACCAAAGAGGGGGACCUUAGGGCCUCUUGCCAUCGGAUGUGCCCAGAUGGGAUUAGCUAGUAGGUGGGGUAACGGCUCACCUAGGCGACGAUCCCUAGCUGGUCUGAGAGGAUGACCAGCCACACUGGAACUGAGACACGGUCCAGACUCCUACGGGAGGCAGCAGUGGGGAAUAUUGCACAAAGGGCGCAAGCCUGAUGCAGCCAUGCCGCGUGUAUGAAGAAGGCCUUCGGGUUGUAAAGUACUUUCAGCGGGGAGGAAGGGAGUAAAGUUAAUACCUUUGCUCAUUGACGUUACCCGCAGAAGAAGCACCGGCUAACUCCGUG